UUCAGAUGAUAACCAUAAAAAGCCUACUGCAUGCGUGUAAGUAAUGGAAAGGUUUGUUCCUGAUACGAAUUACUUGCAUGGUGUGUGCUGUGCGUGUAUGAUUACUAUAUGAUUUUGAGAAACCACGCUGUUAACCGUCUUGUCUUUUCACUUUUAGAAACCUUUCCCAGUCCAUACAUCCUGGACCGUGGAAAGAGACAACUGGUUUGGACAUACAGGGUUUUCCGAGGCAGCUGUACGAGGAUGACUGUGGCAUCUUCAUGUUGAUGGUGGAAGCAUUAUUGGUCAUUGGCUAUUUAUGUUUGUGCUUAAAAGAUAUUAACGUAAAAAUGUGUUGUUUUUUUUCCAUUGUAUGCCCUAUACACCGCACUAGAUGUCCCUUUUGAUUUCACUGUGAUGGACAUGCCAUCUUUACGAAAGUGGUGGUGUGUCAUGCUGAUGGAGAAUUUUGACCUUGGAAGCCAUGGCAAAAUGUUUGCCCACUGGACAGACAAUUCAAAGGCCCUCCUGCGAGGUGAGGUGCAACCAGUGUUCCACCUGAAGAAGUGGAAGAUGGAUGACAUCACUGAGACCAAAGAACAACAAUAACAACCUGCUGCACAGCCUCAGCAAGACAAAGACGAGGCCAGGGUAAUCUCAGAAUGUAGACAAGCAGCAGCUUGGGUUUUAGAAAACCAGCACUUGUUUGCAGACAAGGUGGAGUUGCCCUGUGCCCUCACAAUGGCAGAAGAGGAACUGGCAGAGGCUGUGCAGCAGUACCAGAGACUUUGGUUUGAGGAUGAAGGCUUCAUUAUUGAUGACCAGGAGAAGGAAGAAAUCUUGGAGCCAUUUAAAUUCACUUUCUAUAAAGUGGAGGACUUACGGAUCUUCAGCGAAGAAAUUGCAGACCGACGGAAUUUUUUGAUAUAUGCCGAAUGCAAAACUCAGGAAUAAUUCAAUA